rnacentral:rRNA from 1 species
UACGUAGGGGGCAAGCGUUGUCCGGAUUUAUUGGGCGUAAAGAGCGUGUAGGCGGUUUGGUAGGUCCGUUGUGAAAACUCGAGGCUCAACCUCGAGACGCCGAUGGAAACCAUCAGACUAGAGUCCGUAAGAGGAGAGUGGAAUUCCUGGUGUAGCGGUGAAAUGCGCAGAUAUCAGGAAGAACACCCGUGGCUAAGGCGGCUCUCUAGUACGGUACUGACGCUGAGACGCGAAAGCGUGGGGAGCGAACAGG